rnacentral:ncRNA from 1 species
CUUCUGCCCUCCCCGCACAGGGGGGCAGAGCGAGACCGCGGCGCUCUCUGCCCUGACUGCGCCACGGUCUCCGGGCUCCGGGCUGCGGUGCCGGGCGGGUUGAGGGUCCCGCUCUGGUAC